rnacentral:rRNA from 1 species
UACGUAGGGACCAAGCGUUGUCCGGAAUCAUUGGGCGUAAAGGGCGCGUAGGCGGCCACCGCAAGUCGAUUGUGAAAUCUCCGGGCUUAACCCGGAAAGGUCAACCGAUACUGCGGGGCUAGAGUGCAGAAGGGGCAACUGGAAUUCUCGGUGUAGCGGUGAAAUGCGUAGAUAUCGAGAGGAACACCUGCGGCGAAGGCGGGUUGCUGGGCUGACACUGACGCUGAAGUGCGAAAGCUAGGGGAGCGAACGGG